GGAAAUCUGGUCAGAAGCUUUGUUUCAGUAGCUCUCUACAUCAAUUAAGCCACUAUAUAAAAAUUUCACGAGAUUAUAAUAGAAAAUAUUUCAGUGUCAACUUUACAAUUUUUUCUCAUAGAAGUAGAAGCAUGUAUACAUGAUAAAGAUUGCAGCCCAAACAGAGAAUUCAGAACAUCACAAAGACAAUAACUAAUGACUAACAAGUCGAAACUAUUGAAGACUUAAUGUACCCACAAAACUAUAUAGACAUAUUGGCAAAGGAAAAGCAUAACAGAGACAACACAACUGCCCUAUUAGGUCUACAAUUACAUGAAAUGAAGCAACAUUCUAUACACCUAUCAUGUCCCAAAUUGGAAAGCUAUGCCAAGAAACAUAGAAGAAUACUAUCUGAAUAUUUGGAAAGCCAUUUCGGUUGUGUGGGCAAAUCAGAUGGUUGGUGUAGGGAUGCAGCUCAAUUUCUUAAUUGUAGCCAACUGGAAAUUCCUUUCUCUUAUCUUGGAAUUCCAGUAGGGGUGAGUUCUAAAAGCUGGGUUGUGUGGCAGCCUAUUAUCAGGAAGUUUGAGGCCAAGCUUGCAAAAUGGAAGCAAAGAUAUCUCUCUAUGGGUGGAAGAAUAACCCUCAUUAAUUCAGUUUUAACAGCAUUACCCAUUUACUUGCUGUCUUUUUUUAGAAUCCCUAAAAAAGUGGUGCAAAAGAUAGUUACUAUUCAGAGAAAUUUUCUAUAGGGAGGUGAUUUUGAGGCCAACAAGAUCCCUUGGGUGAAAUGGGACACAAUUUGUCUUCCUAAGAACAAAGGGGGGUUAGGGAUUAAAGACUUGAUCAAAUUUAAUGAGGCUUUGCUUGGCAAGUGGGGUUGGGAGUUGGCUAAUAAUUAGAACCAGCUUUGGGCAAGAAUUUUAUUGUCUAAAUAUGGCGGUUGGAAUGAAUAGUCUCUGGUAGAAACAAUAGUGAUUUCUCUCAUUGAUGGAAAGAUCUAAAGAUUGUAUUUCAGUAGUAGGACAACAAUAGCAUCAUCAAUAAUUUGAGAUGGAGGAUGGGUUGUGGAGUCAAAAUCAGGUUUUGGAAGGACAAGUGGAUGGGUGAUGAUUUAACUCUCCAAGACAAAUAUUCUACUCUGUAUCAAAUGAGUAGACAGUAGAAUUCUACAAUCAACUUAAUGGGUGACUUUGUUGAGGAUAAAUGGGAAUGGAAGCUAAACUGGAGGAGAAACUUUUUUGUCCACGAAAUUGACAUGGUAGUAGCAUUCUUAGCUGAGAUUGAGAAUGUUCACAUCCAACAUUCCAGCAUGGAUAUUCUAUCAUGGAGGGCUGGUCCUAGUGGUAUUUAUUCCACAAAGUCAGCUUAUAAACUCUUGAAGGAAGCUGACAGUGGUGCUAUUGAGGAUAGUGCAUCAAAGAUCAUUUGGAAUCUGAAAAUUCCUCUAAGAGCAAUUGCUUUCUCAUGGAGAUCAUUCAAAAACAGAUUACCUACUAGGGCUAACCUGAGAAGGAGACGGGUGGAUAUGCCUUCCUAUAAUUAUCCUUUAUGUGAAUCUGAAGAGGAAAUUGCCAGCCAUGUUAUGUUCACUUGCACCAAAACUAGGAUUCUAUGGUGGGAGGCUUUGAGAUGGGUUAAUAGAGUGGGCCCUUUUCCCAUAGAGCCAAAGAAUCACUUCCUGCAAUUCUCUCACUGGAAUAGGAAAAGCAACACAAAUAAGAGAUGAGAUGUUUUAUGGAAAGCCUUGUCCAUGACUAUUUGGAAACAUAGAAAUAGCUUCGUUUUCAAUAACCAGAUUUUCAACCCUGAAAAAGUCAUGGAUGAAGCUUUAUUCCAUACUUGGUCCUGGUUAAAAUGUAUGGAGAAAUGCUUUCAAACUCAUUUCAACCUUUGGUCAACUAACUUGAAUGAUGUAAGCUCCACUGGAGCUUGUAGGCCUAGGAUCUUCUUCAUCAAUGGAUUCCUAUGCUUCUUGGAAGAUCAAUGGUAGCGGAAUGGAGAAGGAAGAGAGAGAGAGGAGACGCCACUUCAAGGAGAAGAUGAGUCUAGAAGAAGCUCACCACCAUAGGAGGCCAUGGAUAAGAGCUUGGAGGAAGAAGGAGAUGAAUGAAGGGAGAGGGAGAGAAGAGCACGAAAUUUUGUGCUCUAAGAGAGAUCUGAACUUUGAAGUUUAAUUUUGAAAUGAUCAAAGUUGAAAAAAAUAUACACACAUGACCUCUAUUUAUAGCCUAAGUGUCACACAAAAUUGGAGGGAAAUUUGAAUUUCAAUUCAAAUUUCACUUGAAUUUGAAAUUGAAUUUGUGGAGCAAAACUUUGGAGCCAAAAUUUCACUAAUUAUGAUUAGUGAAUUUUAGUUAUGGUUUAGCCCACUAAUCCAAGAUCAAUUCCAAGAUUUUCUACUAAGUGUGCUUAGGUGGCACGAGACAUGUAAAGCAUGAAGGACAUGCACAAAGUGUGACUAUAUGAUGUGGCAAUGGGGUGUAGUAAAUAAAUGCUCACCUCCCCCUCUAAAAUUUAAUUGGAUUGGGCUUCUACCAAUUCAAUUAAAUUUUAUUUCCCAACACACACAUCAAAUAUUCACUUAGUGCAUGUGAAAUUACAAAACUACCCCUAAUACAGAAACUAGUCUAGGUGCCCUAAAAUACAAGGGCUGAAAAAUCCUAUAUUUCUAGGGUACCCUACCUACAUUAUAGAUCCCUGGCCCAAAAUUAAUGAAACCUUAAUCUAAUCAGUUUUCUUAAAAACCGAUGUUAACAGAUACACAUUAUUUACAAUUAUGCCACCGCAUUUACAUUAACAUCGGUUUUGUCAAAAACCGAUGUUAAUCCGCCGAUGUUAAAUCUGGUUUUUCUAGUAGUGAAUGAUCGGUUAAAACUUACUUUACAAAAGAAAAGAGAUUACUGAUGAUAGAUGGAGAAGAUGAAUGUGCACAAAAACAAUACCCCUAAGGGUGCAUAGAUCACAUUCAAAUAUCAAAAACAAAACUAACUGACGGUCACACGAAGAACACCAACCAAGGAACGAUGUAGGGUUCAAUCAUGGUCGCGAUUUGGUAGCGCCUCAACUUCGUUUCCUCUUCUUUCUUCUUUUUUUCUCUCAAUUCUCUCAAUAUCCUUCAAUGAUGAACCUUGGAACCUCUUACUCAGCCUCGUUCAUGCCUAUUUAUGGCAAAAAAAGGCACUUGGUGGACCUGCAGCUCGCCCAGGCGAGCUGAGACUCAGCCAUGAAGCAACUGGCUCGCCCAGGCAAGCUGGUUACUUUACAUGGAAGUCUUUUGGUGGCCCAAGCGAGCCAGAGGCUAGCCUGGGCAAGCUAUGGUUCAGGAAGCUCAAUGAAAAGACCCUUUUGCCCCCUUCUUUUGGUAUUUUUUGCAUUCUUGAUCAAUACACUGAAUGAUCAUCUGUUUCGCACUGUAACUGGCUUUCAACACCAUAAGUCAACUAGCAAGGAUCAAAAGAUCAACGAACGAUAGUUCCCAGAUGAAAUUAGGGUAUGACAUACAUAAAAUUAGAUAAUCAAUAUUCAAAUACAAUGAAUCUCAACUAAAACAAAACCAUAAGGUUCAAUAUUGUGAGGGCUCCUUCCAAGACCUAUGGUCCUAUGAACUCAAAUAAGGUGGAGUGUAUGAGAACAAUCAAGGGACAAUAUAGUUCAUAAAAGGAGUACACCAUAUAAAUGCUAGGCCAUAAGUCACUAACCUUUAGAGAUGUAAGACCUAUGUAGAGAUGCUUGCUUCUUCCAACCAGCAUCAACAAGUAUGUCUACCAUUGGAAUAUAUUCAUCAUACCUAGACAAGUUGUUUUUUUAUCAUCCUCUUGAUGUUUUUUAUCAUACAAAACUACCCCUAAUAACUU
rnacentral:lncRNA from 1 species